rnacentral:rRNA from 1 species
UACGUAGGGGGCAAGCGUUAUCCGGAUUUACUGGGUGUAAAGGGAGCGUAGGCGGAUUGAUAAGUUAGAGGUGAAAUGUCCGAGCUUAACUCGGGAACUGCCUCUAAUACUGUUGAUCUAGAGAGUAGAUGCGGUAGGCGGAAUGUAUGGUGUAGCGGUGAAAUGCUUAGAGAUCAUACAGAACGCCGAUUGCGAAGGCAGCUUACCAAUCUAUAUCUGACGUUGAGGCACGAAAGCGUGGGGAGCAAACAGG